rnacentral:lncRNA from 1 species
AGAAAUUUAUAUAUAAUCGAUUAACAAUAAGGGUAACUAUAUAUUAUUUGAUAAAUUACAUAUGUGGCUGUAAAGUAAUAAAAGGUAUCAUGUCCUAUAUUUAAGUAUGGUGGGGAAUAAUUAUGUGAUAUUUAAUUAUGGUAGCACAUUAACGAAUGUUAUAUACGAUUAUGUUAGAAUAUGAUCCUGGUAAGCCCUUCUCCUAAAACCUCAAGGUGUAUGUUAAGUGACCAAUUCUCCUCAAGGUGUUAGGAGGAGGGCUUACCAGGAUCAUAUUCUAACAUUCCCCCUCACUCGAAAGCCCAUUUAUGGGUCGAGAGUGGAUCACGGGCGCCCGUCUUUUGGGGCAUAACAUUGCCUUCGUGUCCUUAACAAAUUCUGAGAAUAUUGGGGGUCACAGGGAGUCGAACUCGAGUCUCCCGCGAGCCUAGGCUCUGAUACCAUGUUAAGUGACCAAUUCUCCUAAAACCUCAAGGUGUUAGGAGGAGGGCUUACCAGGAUCAUAUUCUAACAGAUUAGCAUUUGAUCGAGUUGCAAAUCAAAAUAAAGCAGGUUGAUAGCGUAUUGUCCUCAAAUGUCAAAUUUAAACAGAACUCUUAUAUUGCUAAUUUCUUAUGAAUGCACAGAUGAUAUAUCUUUUGGCCUUUUCUCUAUGGUACACUUAACCAUCCGGUUAACAAGAACAUUAACAACCAGCUAAACUAAACGUAAAAGAAACUUUUGGAGAAAAGGUACUGAAUAUAGACACUUCCAGAAAUAGAUAUAACAUAAUUUAUUUUGCAGAUUUUCCAAGCAAGAUAACAAUGACCGGUGGUAGUCAUAAUCCUGUUUCUAAUCCUUAAGGACCAUCAAGU